UUAUAGGGCGUGUUGAUUUGUUAUAGUAACCAUCACGAAGAUACAGAGAUUUAUCUUAGUGAUUCAGUGUGGGGCAUGUUGAUUUGUCCCGAGCGAGCCAAUAUAUGAAUAUAUGAUCUAUUUUGAUAAUCCAAUUGGUGGGUAUGGUGAUUUAUCAUAUAAUCAAGUAAAGUAAAUGAGUAUUAGAUUGAAGAUAUUAGAAUGUAUGUUGGAAUGUUUACCUAUGUAGAGAGGUGAGACAUUGAACUAAUUGUUAUUGGUCGUACGCGAUAUAUG
rnacentral:lncRNA from 1 species